rnacentral:rRNA from 1 species
GACGAACGCUGGCGGCGUGCUUAACACAUGCAAGUCGAACGGAAAGGCCCUGCUUUUGUGGGGUGCUCGAGUGGCGAACGGGUGAGUAACACGUGAGUAACCUGCCCCUGACUUUGGGAUAACUUCAGGAAAGUUGGGCUAAUACCGGAUAGGAGCUCCUGCUGCAUGGUGGGGGUUGGAUAGUUUCGGCGGUUGGGGAUGGACUCGCGGCUUAUCAGCUUGUUGGUGGGGUAGUGGCUUACCAAGGCUUUGACGGGUAGCCGGCCUGAGCGGGGGACCGGCCACAUUGGGCCUGAGAUACGGCCCGGCCUCCUACGGGACGCAGGAGUGGGGAGUGUUGCACAAUGGGAGGAGGCCUGAUGCAGCAAAGCCGCGUGCGGGAUGAGGGCCUUCCGGUUGGAAACCGAUUUCGCCUGUGACGAAGCGUGAGUGACGGUAAUGGGUAAAGAAGCACCGGCUAACUACGUG